GGAAGUAUGCCCGAGACCAUAAGGCCCACUUUGAUAGAGUGCACUACAGGGGUUAGACCCCCCUUACUUCCU
rnacentral:tRNA from 1 species